rnacentral:misc_RNA from 1 species
UACUCGUCCAACGGUGGCUCCAAAAUAACUUGUAUCAUUCAGAUAUUCAUCGAUGGUGUCAUAUCCAAGAACAACAUCAUCUAUUUUUCCAUUCUUAUCAGGAAGAAGAACAGAGAUGAUUCUGGCACCAUAAUCAGUGAUGUUAACUGCGAAAUCUCCUUUCUUUAACUCAUAUAUUCCUAUCUUAACACUAGCAGCAAACAAUAGAUGAAAAAUGAACAAACAGAUGAACAAAUUAAUCUUUGAAGACAUACUCAUCUUUGGAUCUCUGUUUUUCUAGAGCGGCCAACUCUUCAAC